rnacentral:rRNA from 1 species
GAGGCAGCAGUGGGGAAUCUUGGGCAAUGGGCGAAAGCCUGACCCAGCGACGCCGCGUUGGGGAUGAAGCCCUUCGGGGUGUAAACCCAUGUUGUAGGGGACGAAGAAAGUGACGGUACCCUACGAGGAAGCCCCGGCUCACUACGUGCCAGCAGCCGCGGUAAGACGUAGGGGGCAAGCGUUGUCCGGAAUUACUGGGCGUAAAGGGCACGCAGGCGGUGCGCCAAGUCGAGGGUGUAAAGUUACGGCUCAACCGUGACAUUGCAAUCGAUACUGGCGCGCUGGAGUGCGGGAGAGGGAAGUGGAAUUCCCGGUGUAGCGGUGAAAUGCGUAGAUAUCGGGAGGAACGCCAGUGGCGAAGGCGGCUUCCUGGCCCGCGACUGACGCUCAUGUGCGAAAGCCAGGGGAGCGAACCGGAUUAGAUACCCGGGUAGUCCUGGCCGUAAACGAUGGGUGCUAGGUGUAGGCGCGUCAAGCGUCUGUGCCGCAGUUAACGCGAUAAGCACCUCGCCUGGGGA